UCUUCCCUCUUCCCUUCCCCAUGCCCAUUUCUUCUUUAAUUCUUCCUUGUGCUUAGAAGAAGAGGAACUAAAGAAAUAUAAGACAAGAAGGGGACCGAGAGGAAGAAGGCUGGGACAGGGAGGAAACUUUGAACCUGCGGGAGCUCCUUCAAAAACACUGGGCAAGGAAGAGGAGUGUCUGUCUGAGUGGCCACAGUGUAGAAAAGGGCAGUUGCCCCUUCAAGGCACAGGGUUCCAGUUAUGCUUUCCCUUCUGGCCCCAACAAACCAGCUCCUGAGAGAGCUGUGUCCUUAGGGGCAGAGCGGAGCUGCAGCGGCCACCACGCAUCAGAAUCACUGAGGGAGGGCGUAUGGGGGAGGCUUGUCGUUGCUAUGGGAUUUGUAGAACCGCCUCGAAGGCUGGUCUUGAGUUCUGAGUGACACACUGCUGUGUUCUCAAACCACGUUUCCUCUCUGGAUUCUCCUUUUAGGUAACCACCAAAGACAAAGACCUGCAGCAGAAGAUCUACCACAUCAUUAAGGAAGACUGUCAGAAACCAAACCGUAAGUGUUUUGUGAUGGUGAGCCGGUGCGCCCAGGGUUCCUUCCCUCCUAGACAGAAUCAGGAUGCUCUGUCCUGACUCAGGAGGGAGACAGCCAGGGCUUCUGUCCUCCGAGACUCAUUGUCCUCUCCUCUAUGUCGUGUUGCCUGGGCAGAGGAGUCAGCAUGUGGGGCUCCUUUAAACAGCCCUGGGGUGUCCGGUCCUGUAGGGAUAAGCUGGAGGCCAACCACCAAGCUCUCCCUGAGAUUCGGGCACACUGAAGUGAACCACCACGCUCGGCUCUGAGAUGCGCUCGCUGCUUCUGGUCCCUGGUUUGUCGCCCAUGUUUACCACUGCCUCUGAAUGUAAUGUCAACAUUCACUCUCUUCUCAAACAUCAAGGCUUUUCAGUUUCAGGC
rnacentral:lncRNA from 1 species